UACCCAUGGUGUGGGCACAAAUUUAACAAUUCUUUAAACCUUUCACAUGCUUGGUAUAAGGUUUUACUAUCUUUUUGGGCAAAGGUUGAGAUCUGUCUUUUCAAAUU